CUUUUCCUGAUUCAGUGUAUCUUUCUGAGCAUGGGUGGCCAAACCUGAAGGCCACUUGAACAAGCCAGUUCCAUCGUAUUGGUGAUUCCAGCACGAGGAAUUAACCCCUGCACUGCUUGGAGUAGCAGCACAGGGUGUCUGGUACUCCUUGGUGCCAUGGUGUGUGUGCAGAGCACUGGCUGAAGCUGUGAGCAUUACUGCUGUGGUGUUUCCAGCAUCCUGGGGAAGGCAAUUUCUCAACAAGCCAUUCUAAAAAGCCUUUAUGAACUUCCCAGCAUGGUGGUGAGAUCCUCAGCAUGGAAGAAUAAAGAGUGCUCUUGCUGCAAGGCUGCUGUUCUCCUCUGCUGCUGGAUUGUUC